UACGUAGGGUGCAAGCGUUGUCCGGAAUUAUUGGGCGUAAAGAGCUCGUAGGCGGUCUGUCGCGUCUGCUGUGAAAACUCGGGGCUUAACCCCGGGCCUGCAGUGGGUACGGGCAGACUAGAGUGCGGUAGGGGAGACUGGAAUUCCUGGUGUAGCGGUGAAAUGCGCAGAUAUCUGGAGGAACACCGGUGGCGAAGGCGGCAUUCUGGACUGCAACUGACACUGAGAGACGAAAGCCAGGGGAGCAAACGGG
rnacentral:rRNA from 1 species